rnacentral:lncRNA from 1 species
AAAUCUGCUCUCUGCAUUCCCUCAGCACAGAAGAACCUGGUUUGGUGCUUUGCCGUUCAUUAUACGUUACCUUUACAUAGGUGGUUUCACAUAUAUUCGUCUUCAAUUGGUUGCAUAUUGUGGGUCUGCAUUCAUUUGCAUGUUUUACAAGAGUUUGACCUGCGACUCAACAUACCACGGGAUGUAACUGAAGUGGUAAAAUGGCCCAGCUGUUUCUUUUCCAGUUGUUCAGGGUUUGGAUACCAAUUCUGGGGAACUAAACCUCUGAGAGCUAAACUGGUGGAAUAUAACACAGAAAUGGAUGCAACGAGCUAUCUGCAGAAACAACCCCCGAGAGUUCUCGUAAAGCACGCAGACGUCAAGGAAAGGCAGUACAAAAGCCUACCAAGCCAAAGGGAGGGCCAGCCUGCAUCUCCUAAGGGCAAUGGGGCACAGGUCUAUCUGAACUGCCCACCCCAUGCUCUCUCCACAGCCAGGAGCCGCUCCUGGUCAUCUACUGUACCAGGUAUGUAAAGGCAAGGCAGAAACCCAAGAAAGAAAAUGCUGGGAAAAAGAGAACACAGCCUUAGUACAGUAGCUCAAUAAAACUCCGUCUUGACAAGUUCA